rnacentral:rRNA from 1 species
AAACCAACAGGGAUUGCCUCAGUAACGGCGAGUGAAGCGGCAAAAGCUCAAAUUUGAAACCCUCGGGAUUGUAAUUUGAAGAUUUGGCAUUGGAGAAAGCUAACCCAAGUUGCUUGGAAUAGUACGUCAUAGAGGGUGACAACCCCGUCUGGCUAACCGUUCUCCAUGUAUUGCCUUAUCAAAGAGUCGAGUUGUUUGGGAAUGCAGCUCAAAGUGGGUGGUAAACUCCAUCUAAAGCUAAAUACUGGUGAGAGACCGAUAGCGAACAAGUACUGUGAAGGAAAGGUGAAAAGAACUUUGAAAAGAGAGUGAAAUAGUAUGUGAAAUUGUUGAUAGGGAAGGAAAUGAGUGGAGAGUGGCCGAGGUUUCAGCCGCCCCUCGUGGGCGGUGUACUGCCGACGCCGAGUCAUCGAUAGCGAGACGAGGGUUACAAAUGGGAGCGCCUUCGGGCGUUCUCCCCUAACCCUCCACACUGCCACCGACGAC